AUUGAACGCUGGCGGCAGGCUUAACACAUGCAAGUCGAGCGGGGGCUUCGGUCCUAGCGGCGAACGGGUGAGGAAUGCCUGGGAAUCUGCCUGGUAGUGGGGGGAUAACGAUUCGAAAGGGUCGCUAAUACCGCAUACGUCCUACGGGAGAAAGCAGGGGGACCUUCGGGCCUUGCGCUAUCAGAUGAGCCCAGGUCGGAUUAGCUAGUAGGUGAGGUAAAGGCUCACCUAGGCGACGAUCCGUAGCUGGUCUGAGAGGAUGAUCAGCCACACUGGAACUGAGACACGGUCCAGACUCCUACGGGAGGCAGCAGUGGGGAAUAUUGGACAAUGGGCGAAAGCCUGAUCCAGCCAUGCCGC
rnacentral:rRNA from 1 species